rnacentral:rRNA from 1 species
UACGUAGGCAGCAAGCGUUGUUCGGAGUUACUGGGCGUAAAGGGCGCGUAGGCGGCUCGGUCAGCGUGCGGUGAAAGCCCGGGGCUCAACCCCGGGUCGGCCGUGCGAACUGCUGGGCUGGAGCACUGUAGAGGCAGGUGGAAUUCCGGGUGUAGCGGUGGAAUGCGUAGAGAUCCGGAAGAACACCGGUGGCGAAGGCGGCCUGCUGGGCAGUAGCUGACGCUGAUGCGCGACAGCGUGGGGAGCAAACAGG